UCAACGAGGCUUCCAAAGAAACCCUCUUGAACGAGGGUUUCAGAGAACCCUCGUUGAGGGUCUCUCAACGAUGAGGGUUUCAGAGAACCCUCGUUGAGGGUCUAUCAACGCUGAGGGCCCAUGACCGCACCGACUCACUGCCGCUCUCUCUCCUCUCUACCACCCACACCAACUCACCGCCGCACGCGCCAUGACCACCACCAUCCAUUCGGCAGAGUUCGGCCAUUAUACUGGUGAAUGUCGAGACGGAGGUGGUGGGCUUUCCCUGAAACCCUAGUGUUCUUUUGAAGCUCCUUCGAUUCUCUUCUCAUCACAAAGCCCGUUGGUCGAUCGUAUUUCUUCACAGGUAAGCCUCCUUUGGAAGGUAAGCCAAACGAAUCAAAGAGGCGGCUUUCACGGGCAAGGAAGAGCGGUGACAGAGGGAACUGCCAAUUUUCUUUAGCUUUGUGCAGGGAUAUUCCUUAGUUAUCUCUGUCUCUGAUUAGCUUGUGUUAGUAUACUGGAAGAUAGGCCGAAUUGCUGUGCUGCCUGAGAAGAAGAAGGUCAGAGAGAGAUGAAAGUGAAGGGCAAGGUGGCUUCCUCUCAAAACUGCGGGAGGCAUGUGGGUCUACCGCUUGUUUUCAUCCUCUGCUCCCUCUUCUUUGCCGCUGGCUUCCUCGCUUCUCUUUUUCCCCUGUUCCAGGAUGCCUCGUGGAGCUUGCUGGAGCUAAGAGAUAGGACGACGCUGCUUGAGGAAGAAGUGGAUGAAUCAUUUGCUUCAAUGGCGCAUGGAAGAACCGGUGAUCCUUCCCUUAAUUCCAUUCAUUUCCAGGUUUCUUGUCGCCUUGUACGUUUCAAGUUUAGAGAAACAAGACAUACUCGAGUUAAUCGAGUUAAGGGAGUCGAGUUCAAGCUCGACUCUGUAUAAUCGAGUCGAGCUCGAGCUUGUGUCAGGGAGCUCGACUCGAG